CAAAAGAUAGUUUAGACAAAAUACUGGCUUUGGGGGCUAGUGAUAAGGAGGUAAAAUCCUUUCUUUUGA
rnacentral:tRNA from 1 species